rnacentral:rRNA from 1 species
UAAUACGGAGGGUGCAAGCGUUAUCCGGAAUCAUUGGGUUUAAAGGGUCCGUAGGCGGGCUAUUAAGUCAGAGGUGAAAUCCCACAGCUUAACUGUGGAACUGCCUUUGAUACUGGUAGUCUUGAGUUAUAUGGAAGUAGAUAGAAUGUGUAGUGUAGCGGUGAAAUGCAUAGAUAUUACACGGAAUACCGAUUGCGAAGGCAGUCUACUACGUAUAUACUGACGCUAAGGGACGAAAGCGUGGGGAGCGAACAGGAUUAGAUACCCUGGUAGUCCACGCCGUAAACGAUGGAUACUAGUUGUUGGAUUAUUUCAGUGACUAAGCGAAAGUGAUAAGUAUCCCACCUGGGGAGUACGAUCGCAAGAUUG